rnacentral:rRNA from 1 species
AGAGUUUGAUCCUGGCUCAGGACGAACGCUGGCGGCGUGCUUAAUACAUGCAAGUCGAACGAUAAGGCCCUUCGGGGUACAUAAGUGGCGGACGGGUGAGUAAUACAUAGGUAAUCUGCCUCAAGGAGGGGGACAACGUUGGGAAACUGACGCUAAUACCCCAUAUGUGCAAUGUUGAAAUAUGUUGCAUGAAAACUCCGGUGCCUUGAGAUGAGCCUAUGGCUGAUUAGCUUGUUGGUGGGGUAAAGGCCUACCAAGGCGAUGAUCAGUAGCUGGUCUGAGAGGAUGAUCAGCCACAAUGGGACUGAGACACGGCCCAUACUCCUACGGGAGGCAGCAGUAGGGAAUUUUGCGCAAUGGGCGAAAGCCUGACGCAGCAACACCGCGUGAGCGAUGAAGCCCCUUGGGGUGUAAAGCUCUGUCAGUGGGGAAGAAUAAAUGACUGUACCCACAGAGGAAGCAUCGGCUAACUACGUGCCAGCAGCCGCGGUAAUACGUAGGAUGCAAGCGUUGUCCGGAAUUAUUGGGCGUAAAGAGUUCGUAGGCGGCAUAUCAAGUCUGGUGUUAAAGACUGGGGCUCAACCCUGGAAGAGCAUUGGAAACUGAUAAGCUAGAGUACAGAAGAGGCAAGGGGAAUUCCCAGUGUAGCGGUGAAAUGCGUAGAUAUUGGGAGGAACACCAGUGGCGUAAGCGCCUUGCUGGGCUGUUACUGACGCUGAGGAACGAAAGCUAGGGGAGCAAAUGGGAUUAGAUACCCCAGUAGUCCUAGCCGUAAACGAUGGAUACUAGGCGCUGUGCGUAUCGACCCGUGCAGUGCUGUAGCUAACGCGUUAAGUAUCCCGCCUGGGGAGUACGUUCGCAAGAAUGAAAC